GUGUGUGUGUGUGUGUGUGUGUGUGUGUGUGUGUGUGUGUGUGUGUGUGUGUGUGUGUGUGUGUGUGUGUGAAACAGCCAAACACUGAUGAAGACCCCAUUGUAUACAGCACAGUUGCUGUUUCUAAGCCAAAGGCUAAGAAUAAGCCCACUUGUACUGCUGAAGACUCGAUUAUAUACAGCACUGUGGCUACAAAGAGUAAAAAACAGGCCACUUUUACAGAUGAAGACUCCUUUACAUACAGCACUGUGGCUAAAAGCAAGCCAAAGGUUUCUCCAAAUGAUGUCACUAAUGAGACCCUCUACAGCUCUGAGGUUUACCAGUAAGAGAGGAUGACUUACUGUCCACUGGCUGUGGGGCCUCAGGGAUCUCUACUGGGUCGUGUGUCCAUCCUCAAUAUCCUUACAGAUAAAAUCCCAGUCAGGACAAGGACAACAUGCCCCACACUCACUCCACAGACAUCACAGUCACAUGACCCUCCGUCAUUCAGAAACAAAUGACGGUUUUCUCACUGUAGCUAUCAGAUUUCACUUAUUCUUUUCAGUACUUUAAUUUAAUUUGUCUUUUGCUUGAUCUGAAAUGUAUUUAAAGUGUUUAUAUGUCAUGUUUUUAUUUCAAUAUAUUUUAACUCAAAAUUCUUUUACAUUAGCUCUUAUCAUUUCUGUUCACAUGGUCUACAGUCCUUAUAUACAACAUUAGUGUACAACAUAACAUACUGCAGAACCCACAACGCUUAAUGAAUAAAAACCUGUAGGAAAAAUAUCUUCUGAUUUUAAAUUAAAGCAUGCUAUUAUUACACACUGCUAUGCUACGCUAUUAUUAUAACCGCCUAGUGAAGCCAGUGUUAAUAUGAGUGAUGUUUAGGAAAACACUUCACAUGGUGAAAUUUUAACUAUAUGUACAUAAUCAUCUAAGAUGAAAUGCUUUUCUUUUAUAUAAUUAAGGAUUUAAUUCAAGAUAACGGAUCACAAGCAGCAUGGACAUUCUGGUAAACUGUGCUGGUACCUGAUUACAAUCUGAAUGGAUUAGUCUCAUGACCCUGUAAUGAUGAACAGACCAUUCACUGUGGGAGAACAUCACACUUAGUCUGUAUUGUAGCACCGUGUUUGUUAAACCUAAAAUCAUACCAUAUAUUUAUGGGUCGUAAAAGUGGAAACAUCAAAGCUUUAAGCAGAAAAAUAGAAUCUUAAGCAUGACCUGAUUAAAUUUUUUUUUUUUACAAGAAUUAUGGCAAACUUAGUUCUGUCGUAAUUCUUACAAGUCACAGAGUCUCACAUACAGUAUAUAACACUGGAGCAUAAAUGCCUAUAUUUCAAUUUAAAAAAAAAAAAUUUAUUCAUCUUAUGCACUUACAUUUACAUAUAAAUGCAAUAACGAACAAAGUGCUGCUUAUACUGUAAAUGUCUGAUAACAAUUUGAAACAUUUAUGUUUUUAAUGUUUGUUUAAGAUGCAAUAAUUUAGCUGUAAUGAUUGAGUGGUGAAUGUAAUGAUGUGCAGGAUGAUGCAGAACUGUACGUACUGUAAUGUGGAACAAACGGUAGGUUGGGGUCUGGCUGUCGUAGAAUAGGGGCUGUGGUGAAACUUUUGUGGGAGUUUGUACAUUUGUAAUUGUACGCUAAAAGGGCAAUUGUCAGUGCUCACCUUAGUGCUGCAUGGAGUGGCCUUCUCAGGACAGGCUGAACAGCAAUGACCUGCUUGACCACAGUAAAGGUAGAGCCGUAUGCACAGACGACACUGACGCAUCUUUGGAGAUACAUUUGGCAAUAUAAAGUAUUGGAGAUGAGCUCUGCCUGAAGGGAAAGGUUUAGGCCUUCUUAGAACAUGGCUUUCAGUGCUGCAUCCUUUCAAUGUAAUUUCCUUUAUGUUUAAUUCAUUCAGGUCUGCCUGGAAAUCACACAAAAAACAAUCCAUAUCAUUUGUAAGUACUGAGAUAUUUUACACCCCUGCAACCAAAUGUGUAGAAUUUAUUCAUACAUAGAAUUAUUAGAUCACUAAUAAUGAAAAAAGUAUUUUGCAAAAAAUAAACAAAAAAACAUGUGAAGUAAAUAACUACAUGUCGUCUGGUUACAGUACUUAAGCUGACAGUUUGUGAUGGUAGUGGAACAACUGCUUGGAAGGUUGUGAGUUCAAAUUCCAGCACCAAUAACAGGCUGCCACUUCUGGGCCUGUGAGAAAGGCUGUUAACACUCAAGUGCUCAGAUGUAUAGUAUAAGUGACUCUGGAUAACGGAGUCUG